GCCAGGCACGGUGGUGCGCGCCUGUAAUCCCAGCAGCUCAGGAGGUUGAGGCAGGAGGAUCACAAGUUCAAAGCCAGCCUCAGCCAUGGCGAUGCUCUAAGCAACUCAGUGAGACCCUGUCUCUA
rnacentral:sRNA from 1 species